UAAUUAAAAGGUUGAGGAUGGGCCGGUUGGGUUUGGGCAACCCGAGUGGGUGAGACUGGUCAAUCUGCAAGGGCCGCGAGUUGCAUGCUAGGCUGACUGGACUUGUUUCGGGCUCGUCCACAAGGGAGGGGGGGCGUUCGAACCCUUGGGUCUACACGCACAAAGUUGUUCACGCGCGUGGUCCUAGCGGAUCGUGAGCAAGGGUGCUACUGUGCGCUCGUGCAUGUAGACACGCGUGCAUGAAGUGUGUGGGUUGGGCGGCAUGCUCGGCGCAC
rnacentral:lncRNA from 1 species